rnacentral:rRNA from 1 species
AGGUGACCUCGGAUCAGGUAGGGAUACCCGCUGAACUUAAGCAUAUCAAUAAGCGGAGGAAAAGAAACCAACAGGGAUUGCCUCAGUAACGGCGAGUGAAGCGGCAAGAGCUCAAAUUUGAAAUCCGGCCCCCCUGGGGGCCUGAGUUGUAAUUUGCAGAGGAUGCUUCGGGCGCGACCGCGGUCCAAGUCCCCUGGAACGGGGCGUCGUAGAGGGUGAGAAUCCCGUCUCCGGCCGGCCGGUCUCGCCCGUGUGAAGCUCCUUCGACGAGUCGAGUUGUUUGGGAAUGCAGCUCCAAAUGGGUGGUAAAUUUCAUCUAAAGCUAAAUACUGGUCGGAGACCGAUAGCGCACAAGUAGAGUGAUCGAAAGAUGAAAAGCACUUUGAAAAGAGAGUUAAACAGCAUGUGAAAUUGUUGAAAGGGAAGCGCUUGCGACCAGAGUCGGCCGUGGGGGUUCAGCGGGCAUUCGUUGCCCGUGCAAUCCCCCGCGGCCGGGCCAGCGUCGGUUUCGACGGCCGGUCAAAGGCCCCCGGAAUGUGUCGCCUCUCGGGGCGUCUUAUAGCCGGGGGUGCAAUGCGGCCAGUCGGGACCGAGGAACGCGCUCCGGCACGGACGCUGGCUUAAUGGUCGUCAGCGACCCG